UCACUGCUGAAGAGUCCGGUACUAGGACGAAACGGCCGUCCAGUGC
rfam:Schistosoma curassoni strain Dakar, Senegal genome assembly, scaffold: SCTD_scaffold0003246